AUCCGGCCUGGCCCUUUGCCUUGAGCUUUGCACGUGUUUCUUCCCUCCCUCCAUCCGUCAUCUAUUUAAUGUGUGGUGUGCGCGGUUAAUUGCCAGUUGGAAGUCGGAAAGCUCCAGCUAUCAACGUUGCGAUUGUGUGUUUGAAGGAAUCGUAAUUCUGGCGAGCAAAUGUUUCUGUACGCAAGAUUGCGUGGCGAAGCCAACCAAAUGUCAGAUGUGCAUGAUUCACGUGAGCUAUAAAAUUUGAUAACUUGAGCCUGAGUAUGUACCUUCAGGAUCAUGUCUUGGGUUGAAGUAAGAGUUGCUUCUCUUGUGUUUCAUAUUGCUGUGCUGCACUGUAAAAUUUGCUAUGGCGGUGAGGCAAUUGCUGCUGGUCGUUCCAUUCAAGUUCAUCUGUAGUGGUGUUUCUUUGACUGCUGAGUUUUUCUCAGGUGUUAGAGAUGGCCAUGCAUUCUGGUUGUUGGAUGCAGGUAUUUGGGCUGUGAGAUGGGUUUUGGUUGGUGCUGAUAUAGGAACCUUUCGUUUAAGAUUGUUUUGAAGGAGACAAGUAUGGUUAUUCCAGAGUUUCAUUGGCGGGGCUGGCGCUGUUGUCGACGCUGUUUGUCGGUAGGUUUACAUUAUGUCGUUGAGUUCUGAGCUUAUCCCUGUUGAAUUUUCACGUUGCUUCCAUGGCUUCCGAAAAUCUCGCAUUUGGGAGUCACAUACGGGGUGCACUGUUUGCUAUAGGUAAUCCCGUGGAUGUCUAAAACUGGGCCUGGCUCUUGUUGUAGGGCUAUUAAUAACACAGAUUGUACGUUCACGUACGAUUGAGUUUUAUUUAACUGCAAAACUCAAUUCAUACUAGUCUGUCGAAAGCCAAGUAAAUUGCUUCGCGUUUGAGGGGAUUCGAAUGUUUACAUAUUAACUUUUGUCAUGUCGUUUGCUUUCAAUUUACUGUUAUCUGUUUCAUUAGGGGUAACUUGGCUGUUUGUAAAGUCAAUAGUCGUUGGGAUUACAAAUAAGUUGGUUUUCGCUUGGUAUGGUCGUUGGGGUGUUAUAAAUUCAUGGGUGAGAUAAAUAAUCUUCUGCGUCCUUUGCUUUACCGUUUCUAGAUGCUUGUGACACUGUGGUGAUAAGAUUCGAAGGUGUUGUCUAUGUCAGGUGAGUUCUUUUUUAUUUCAUGUUCAGUUCAUCUUUAGUUCACAUGGAAAUGCAUUUUAAGAUCAUUCUCUCCAGUUCUGAGCUGAUUAUGAUUGGCGCAAGCUAUGCCAGGGAUGGAAUGCUGCAUAUACUUGUUAGGGUGGGUAAAAUGUUUUAAGUGUUUAGUAUUCUCGCGAAGAAUGGUGUUUCGUUUUUAUAGUUUGUUUUGAGACAAAAAUUUUUUUUUUCGAAUUUUCGAGAUAGGGAAAAUGGGGGAAAAUAAAACAUUUUAUGAACGUAGGUUACCCAACCACUAAAAAUAUGAAAUAAUUCACACGAUAUGCUGAAUUUUUGUGCAUAAUUUACAUGUGCAUACCAAAGUGAUACCGUGCAUGAUUUAAUUAAAAAUUACAGUAUGUGAAGCAUUGGAUCAGUAGGGAAACCCAAAAUUAUUAUCUUAGCGGACUCAGCGCCACUAUGCGGUACCUCACGCGCAUCGCUACAGAGGGAUAUAAGCGUUAGCGAUCUUCCACUUCGUUGUCUAUGGUCACAUAGAGCUUGAUCACAUAACAAGUAUAAAUGCGCAGCAGCGCCAUCUCGUUUUACAAUUUAUUAAAAAAAAUACAAGCUUAAAAAACUUGCUCAUUUUUUAUUGCGAGAACUGCAUUGAUAUGAACUUUUUGAUUCUAAUUCUAAUACUACUAAUUAUAGAGCGGUACAUAUCCAGUUUAUGUCAAUGCAAAAAGUCCGUGAACAAAACAAUAAAACUAACAUUAAAUAAAUUCUUCAUUAAGCAUACUUCUACGUGAAAGUUUCCGAGUAAAUUCAAGAAUGGAGAUCCAACUCUAGCAGAAUAUUGAAAGUCAAUAGCACUUCUUUUAAGACUUGAAGGUUUAUUUCAACAACAACAAAUUUUCAGUUACAAACUCUGAAUAUCCAGAUUCAUUGAGAAAUGAAUACUUCCUGUUUAAGCUUUUCAAUUAACAUCAAUUUCCCGAUAGGGAUUCUAUCAAACCUCGCAUUUCCCAACCCCCUUCAAGGCCGGGCUUUGUGCGUCGCCUGGCAACGGACUGGUUUUUCCACAGGCCGUGUGAGGUUGUCAACAUGGUCUCACUACAUAUGUAUUAAGGUCAUGCAAAACCAUUCGUCAGCCACAUUUACAGGACAAUCAUUAACGCACAUUUUGUGGUACAAAACAGAUUUUCUGUUUCGACAGUCUCGUGAGAUCUCGUGGCACGACUUUGAAUGGAUGGAAAUGGAGUCAUGCAUGCCAAAUUUUAUUUCCCUAACUUGUAAAAUGAUGAAACACCACACGAAAAAUGAGUUCCGUCUCCCUUUUUACUACCCAAAAACCGCUUCCGUGUUUAACACAGAGUUUACGGGGAAACGGCUUUAGCGAAAAUCACUGCCGUUAGUUAUCUUUAAUCCCCUCCUCUUCCGUUUUUGUCUUAUGUUAAAGAGCUAAUUCUCUUCUACAAACCCAGUAAAAGAUUUUUGGAAGGGGGAAUUAGUUUUAAAGUUAUUAGAUUUUAUAUACAGCCCAUAUUUCCUGAAAUUUUCUAAAUAUUGGUCUUAUAGUUUUUCAUUUACAUAUUAAAAACCAUAAAUGAAGUUGGUGCGCUAA